UACGUAGGGUGCAAGCGUUGUCCGGAAUUAUUGGGCGUAAAGAGCUUGUAGGCGGUUUGUCGCGUCUGCUGUGAAAUUUCGGGGCUCAACCCCGAACUUGCAGUGGGUACGGGCAGACUAGAGUGUGGUAGGGGAGACUGGAAUUCCUGGUGUAGCGGUGAAAUGCGCAGAUAUCAGGAGGAACACCGGUGGCGAAGGCGGGAUCCUGGGCCAGUACUGACGCUGAGGAGCGAAAGCGUGGGGAGCGAACAGG
rnacentral:rRNA from 1 species